rnacentral:lncRNA from 1 species
UCCAGGAAGAAGAGACUCGGACUCACCUCGGCACACGGGUCGGUCUCCGCUCCGGUCCCCCAAGCCGUGGAAUUUCCUACAGCCGCCUUUUAAAGCCCAGAGACUGGAGCCCCUAAAUGAACCGAGUAAAUGAAUAUUGUACAGCUAAAAUGGGACUCCCGGUCUCCUCUCCUGCCGCCGGGACAGAGCGCACUCCAAGCUGAACCCCCCUGCAGUGGGACAGAGACGAAACGAUCACGAAACGAUUCUGAAAUGUGCCCGACAACUGUUUUUCUCCUGUGACCAGUUCUGGUUUGUACGCUUUGCUGUGCAUUGCAACAGUCUUUGGUUUGUACACCACAACUCUUAAUAAAAAAUCCUAACGUCUUUUUUUCCAU